GUGAAUGCCUCACACUUCAGGUAUGCAGCAGCAGAGAAGUUAGAACGUUAUUGUGUUAUAGUUAAUGAACAUAACCUAAAUUUUUUGACAACUUGACUGGUUGCAGGAGAGGGGAGCAUGGGGCGUCUCUCAUACCAGAGUACCAACAGAAUCGCGCCCUGGACAUGUGGCAUUAAUUGCUGGAUUAUAUGAGGACCCAUUUGCUGUAGCCAAGGGUUGGAAAGACAAUGCAGUAGAAUUUGACUCUGUUUUCAAUGAAAGUCAGUACACAUGGUCCUGGGGAAGUCCUGACAUACUUCCCAUGUUUGCCAAAGGUGCAAGUGGAAACCAUGUUUAUAUAUAGACAUGUAUGGCUCUGAAGUUGAAGAUUACUCUGGAAGAAGAUCCACAACAAGGCUUGAUACAUAGGUGUUCAGGAAGGUUCUGAACCAUGCCAAGACAGAUGCUGUUCUUAAUUAAAAACUUAAUCAAGAUAAAAUUGUAUUUUUCCUACAUCUUCUUGGACUUGAUACAGCUUUUCAUACACAUAAACCAUAUUCACUGUAAGUGUUACAGAAGUGAGUGUUUUGAGUCAUACUCCAGUUACUUUGCCCUUUCAGCCUUCGGUAUGUGUUAGAUAGUAAAUAGCUUGCAGGUUCCAAAGCUGUUGUGGGCGUGAUGGUGAUUCGGUCUUGCCAAAAAUCAAAUUAUAGUCUCCCACUCCAUGGGCAGUCACUGGUCUAUCAGUAAGUACAGUAAACUGCAAAUUAUCCUGUCUUUCCUUGUGAUGCAGUAUAGUAUAUGUGAUUUAAAUCUAUCAUCAUCAGUCUGCCUUGUUACCUAGAAAGACAACUAUGUACUGUUGUAUGUAAUGUUGAACACUGGGUUCUAGUAGCACUCCUGUUAUGGAAAUAUUAUAAAUUCACAAUUUAUUAUUGUCCUUCCAUGUAUAUAGAUUUUGAUAUUUUUAUGGCAGUGAAUGUUCAGAUUUUUGUAUUCUGGAUUGUGACACCUUAUAGCCUUGUAGGCAGAUACAGACAUUUCAGAAAAAUGGACAGGGACCAGUGAAGGCCUCUU